rnacentral:rRNA from 1 species
AACCAGCUCUUCAAGUGGUCGGGAUAAUUAUUGGGCUUAAAGUGUCCGUAGCCGGUUUAGUAAGUUCCUGGUAAAAUCGGGUAGCUUAACUAUCUGCAUGCUAGGAAUACUGUUAUACUAGAGGGCGGGAGAGGUCUGAGGUACUACAGGGGUAGGGGUGAAAUCUUAUAAUCCUUGUAGGACCACCAGUGGCGAAGGCGUCAGACUGGAACGCGCCUGACGGUGAGGGACGAAAGCCAGGGGGAGCGAACCGGAUUAGAUACCCGGGUAGUCCUGGCCGUAAACGAUGCAUACUAGGUGAUGGCACGGCCAUGAGCCAUGUCAGUGCCGUAGGGAAACCGUUAAGUGUGCCGCCUGGGAAGUACGGUCGCAAGGCUAAAACUUAAAGGAAUUGGCGGGGAGCACCACAAGGGGUGAAGCCUGCGGUUU